UACGUAGGGACCAAGCGUUGUUCGGAUUUACUGGGCGUAAAGGGCGCGUAGGCGGCUUAACAAGUCACUUGUGAAAUCUCCGGGCUUAACUCGGAACGGCCAAGUGAAACUGUUGUGCUAGAGUGCGGAAGGGGCUACUGGAAUUCUCGGUGUAGCGGUGAAAUGCGUAGAUAUCGAGAGGAACACCUGCGGCGAAGGCGGGUAGCUGGGCCGACACUGACGCUGAUGCGCGAAAGCCAGGGGAGGCGAACGGG
rnacentral:rRNA from 1 species